UCUCUUCUCUACGGAAGGCGUAGUAUUUGUCAUUUGACUUUGAAGCCGAAUAAGGGUUCGUUGGGUUUGGUCUUGAUGAGCAGAUUCUGAUGUCUGGGAGGUCUGUUCGGUGGUGGGCUAUGAUGGGUUUGAGAUUUUGCUUCUGAUGGGAAUGAAAUUAGUUUUUGGCACCGUCUCAUUCAUGAUUGGUCUUCAUGGAGUUCAAUGGUUAUUUGAUUUUCAUGAAGGAAAAUUUUGAUUUUUAGCAGUCAAAUUUUCAAUGGUUGUUGAUGGGUUUUAGGAAAUUUGGUUUCUGGAGCUUCGAUAUUCAUAUAGUAUUGUUUGGGGUUGAGCCUUCUUCUCAGCUGGAGGAGAAGAAGAAGAAUAACGAAUUCUGUGGGUUUAAGGUCUUUUAGAGUUUCGACGGAUUACCGUGACGCAGUAAUGGCAGAAGAGGCUAAUUCUUGGAUUAGGAGAGCGAAGUUUUCUCACACAGUUUGUCAUCGGUUGGACUCCUCAAGAUUGGCCUCUAUUCCAUUCUCAGUACAGCUUGACCGAUUUUCAGGUUUGAAAUCAAGUCCCGGAACAACUUCUUCUCGUGAGAAAUCUAUCCCUAGUGAUUCAAAGAUUCAGCGGAAUCCUAUGACGGUCGAGCAGAGAUCUUGGUCCCCUUUACCUGAAACUGUGCUCUAUGACGCGUUCAAGGAAGCAAGGUCUGAGCCGAAGAGAUUCCUGUCUCCCUUUCUUGCUGACCGAUAUUCAGGUUCGAAAUCAAAACCCGGAACAACUGCUAAUGGUGAGAAAUCUAUUCCCAGUAAUUCAAAGAUUCAGCGGAACCCUAUUAACAAGCAGAGAUCUUUGUCCCCUUCGCCUGAAACUGUGCUCUCUGAUGCGUUCAAGGAAGCAAGAUCUGAGCGGAAGAGAUUCCUGUCCCCCUUUCCGAGGAGAAGGGAAUCGCAGAAGGGGAUUAUGAAAAAGUUUGUGAAUAAGGAUUUCCCAGAAAUCACGGCAUCCAAUUCGAGCUCUCCGUCGAAUGCUAGCCCGCUUAGCCACUUGGCUUCGCUGAAAGUCAAUGAAAAAUCGAAGACCCGGAAGGAGUUGUCGUGGGCAAAGUAUUUUGAUCAUGGUGGAGGAAGGGUUACUGCUGUAGAAACUGCAGAUGAAUGGACUGUUGAUCUGUCUAAAUUGUUUCUGGGGCUUAAGUUUGCUCACGGGGCUCACAGUCGGCUUUACCAUGGGAUAUACAAUGAUGAACCUGUUGCAGUCAAAAUUAUUCGGGUUCCUGAUGAUGACGAAAAUGGAACCUUGGAGGCUCGACUAGAGAAGCAAUUCAAUCGGGAAGUCACUCUUCUAUCUGGUCUCUACCAUAAAAAUGUCAUAAAGUUCGUCGCAGCAUGCAGAAAGCCACCAGUUUAUUGUGUCGUCACAGAAUAUCUAUCGGAGGGCUCCUUGAGGGCAUAUUUGCAUAAGCUUGAACCUAAAACGCUUCCUUUACAGAAACUAAUCGCAAUUGCUCUGGACAUUGCUCGUGGAAUGGAAUAUAUUCACUCUCAAGGUGUAAUUCAUCGAGAUCUUAAACCAGAAAAUAUCCUUAUUGACCAAGACUUCCACAUGAAGGUCGCUGAUUUUGGUAUAGCUUGUGGGGAGGCGUACUGUGAUUCUUUAGCUGAUGACCCUGGGACUUAUCGCUGGAUGGCACCUGAGAUGAUCAAACAUAAAUCCUAUGGUCGAAGGGUUGAUGUGUACAGUUUUGGGCUCAUCUUGUGGGAAAUGGUGGCUGGAACAAUUCCGUAUGAGGAUAUGACUCCCGUACAGGCUGCAUUUGCUGUAGUAAUUAAGAAUUUGAGACCUCCUAUCCCAGGGGACUGUCCUCCUGCCAUGCGAGCUUUAAUUGAGCAAUGCUGGUCCCUACAACCAGAGAAAAGACCAGAGUUUUGGCAGGUUGUGAAGGUAUUGGAACAAUUUGAGUCUUCGCUUGCCAGUGAUGGAACCAUGAAUCUGGUACAAAAUCCUACUUGCCAAGAUCAUAAGAAAGGACUUCUCCAUCGGAUCCAAAAGCUUAGUCCCGUGCAUCCUAAUAGCUCAUCAAUGCCUAAACCUAAAUUCACAUGAAUCUUUCAUAGGCCCUGGCUUUGUAGCUGACCAGACCAUUGUAAUUAGAAAAAAGAAUCACUGUGGCUCCACCUCCAGCAAGAUAUCCCAACAUUAAUUGUUACAGCUUGGUGAGCAUGCAUUUGUAGCUCACAUUUAUGGCACUCACAUAGCAUGCAUGAAGACUGCUUAAGAACAAUUUAUUAUUAUUAUUAUUUUUCUUUUUUAUUGAUACCGGGUGUCUGAGAACAAAGUCCCGACUAAUGCUGGGGUGCAUAGACUCUCGGUAAGGAGUUUCUCACAAGUGCAAGAGAACAAUUACUUUGUUGAAGUUGUUCUUUGAUUUAGAUUUUGUCUUUCAAUUCUGUUGACGUGUGAAUC